rnacentral:tRNA from 1 species
CAGAAAGUAGUUUAAUAAAAAAAUAGUGGUUUUGGAAAUUACUGAUGAUGAUCUAUUCUUUCUGA